CUUUUUUUUCUCUUCAAAUUGAUCACAAGGUUUGUUGUUUUCUUCUUUAUUUGUGUUUCAUUAUUUGACAAUUUAUCGCAAUUCAACUGUCACAUAUAAUUCCUUGUUUUUCUUUAAUUCUCUUCCCUUCCUCAGGCCAUUCAACAAGAUCAAAGUAUGAUGAUGAAGAAGGAGGUUAAUAAUAAGCAGAAUUAUGUUAAAUCGCCGGAAGAUCAAGGAAUCAUCGAGCUACUUCGAGAGGUUGUUCGUAAAUGUACUAACCCGAAAUCGUCUGAACGUCCAUCGGCCUCUGAACUAUUCGAAACCCUUAAUCAACAUCUCCAUGGUUUAGAUUCAAAAAGCACCGGAGAAACAAUAAUUUAAUCUUUUCCUUUUAUAAUCUAAAACAAUCAAAUCAAUCAAUUGAAAUUAUUCUUGAUAAACAAAAAUGUGAUUAUUGAUUUAGUGAUAAAGAUAAAUUUAAUAAUGGUUCGGAUGGGUCAAAGAUGACUCGAUAAAUGAGAUGAUGAAAGAUAAUUAUGUUAAUUAAAGUGUUAAACUUCGCAUUGGAAA